GAACUAAACAGGAUUUCCUCAGUAAUGGCGAAUGAACAGGGAUGAGCUCAACAUGGAAAUUGUGGCUUCUGGCUUUGAAUUGUAAUCUCAAGAUGUAUUGCUAAUGGGGGCGCAGGUGUAAACCUCUUGGAAAAGAGAAUCAGUGAAGGUGAGAAUCCUGUUUGUCACCUGCAGUCCUUCAUGUACAGCAUGCGAUCUACGAGUCACGUUCCUCGGGAUUGGAGCGCAAACUGGGUGGUAAAUUUCAUCUCAAGCUAAAUAUGGGUUCGAAACCGAUAGCAAACAAGUACCAUGAGGGAAAGAUGAAAAGGACUUUGAAAAGAGAGUUAAAAGUGCCUGAAAUUGCUGAAAGGAAAGCGGAUGGAACCAGUGUUGCUUGGUGAGAUUGUUGUGUGCUUCAGUGAUAGCCUGCAGUUUCAACGCAAGUGUUGCUGUGGGUUCUGAUCUGGCUGUGCGCGAUGCUUCUUGCCUUGUGUGUCAUCGUCGGUUUGAGGGUGAGGACAACUCUUGGAGGAUGGUAGUUUGCCCCUGGGUGAACGAAUGUUCCUUGUAGAACUCACCCUUAGACUGAAACUUUACUGUGAGGUUGUGAUGUCUUUGCUUCCUUCUGUGCAGCUUCUGCAUGGAUCCAAGGGCGCAGGACACCUUCCUGACACAAGCAUGGUGACAGAAUGGUUCUAUUCGACCCGUCUUGAAACACGGACCAAGGAGUCUAACAUAUGUGCAAGUUCAUGGGUGGUGAAACCUGCGUGCGCAAUGAAAGUGAGUACUGAGAUGCUAGCAUCAGCAGCCGACCAAUCAACUGGGAGAGGUUUGAGCAUGAGCAUAUCUGUUAGGACCCGAAAGAUGGUGAACUAUGCCUGAGAAGGGCAAAGUCUGGGGAAACUCAGAUGGAGGCU
rnacentral:rRNA from 1 species